UACGUAGGGUGCGAGCGUUAUUCGGAAUUACUGGGCGUAAAGUGUGCGCAGGCGGCCGCGCAAGUCGAGUGUGAAAUCCCCGAGCUUAACUUGGGAAUUGCGCUCGAAACUACGUGGCUGGAGUGUGGCAGAGGAAGGUGGAAUUCCACGUGUAGCGGUGAAAUGCGUAGAGAUGUGGAGGAACACCGAUGGCGAAGGCAGCCUUCUGGGCCAACACUGACGCUCAUACACGAAAGCGUGGGGAGCAAACAGG
rnacentral:rRNA from 1 species